AUUGAACGCUGGCGGCAGGCCUAACACAUGCAAGUCGAACGAGUGGCGGACGGGUGAGUCAUGUCUGGGAAACUGCCUGAUGGAGGGGGAUAACUACUGGAAACGGUAACUAAUACCGCAUACCAUCGGAUGUGCCCAGCUGGGAUUAGCUAGUGGGUGGGGUAACGGCUCACCUAGGCGACGAUCCGUACCUGGUCUGAGAGGAUGACCAGCCACACUGGAACUGAGACACGGUCCAGACUCCUACGGGAGGCAGCAGUGGGGAAUAUUGGACAAUGGGCGAAAGCCUGAUGCAGCCAUGCCGCGUGUGUGAAGAAGGCCUUCGGAUUGUAAAGUACUUUCAGCGAGGAGGCGUUACUAGCAGAAGAAGCACCGGCUAACUCCGUGCCAGCAGCCGCGGUAAUUC
rnacentral:rRNA from 1 species